rnacentral:rRNA from 1 species
UACAGAGGUCUCGAGCGUUAGGCGGAAUCACUGGGCUUAAAGCGUGUGUAGGCGGAUCGGUAAGUACCUUGUGAAAUCCCACAGCUUAACUGUGGAACUGCUUGGUAUACUGCCAGCCUUGAGCCACUUAGGGGCUACCGGAACAAAUGGUGGAGCGGUGAAAUGCGUAGAUAUCAUUUGGAACGCCAAUGGUGAAAACAGGUAGCUAGGAGUGUGCUGACGCUGAGACACGAAAGCCAGGGGAGCAAACGGG